AUUGAACGCUGGCGGCAGGCUUAACACAUGCAAGUCGAGCGGGGGAAGGUAGCUUGCUACUGGACCUAGCGGCGGACGGGUGAGUAAUGCUUAGGAAUCUGCCUAUUAGUGGGGGACAACAUCUCGAAAGGGAUGCUAAUACCGCAUACGUCCUACGGGAGAAAGCAGGGGAUCUUCGGACCUUGCGCUAAUAGAUGAGCCUAAGUCGGAUUAGCUAGUUGGUGGGGUAAAGGCCUACCAAGGCGACGAUCUGUAGCGGGUCUGAGAGGAUGAUCCGCCACACUGGGACCGAGACACGGCGCAGACUCCUACGGGAGGCAGCAGUGGGGAAUAUUGGACAAUGGGGGGAACCCUGAUCCAGCCAUGCCGCGUGUGUGAAGAAGGCCUUAUGGUUGUAAAGCACUUUAAGCGAGGAGGAGGCUACUCUAGUUAAUACCUAGGGAUAGUGGACGUUACUCGCAGAAUAAGCACCGGCUAACUCUGUGCCAGCCGCCGCCGUAA
rnacentral:rRNA from 1 species